rnacentral:rRNA from 1 species
CCUACGGGAGGCAGCAGUGAGGAAUAUUGGUCAAUGGACGCAAGUCUGAACCAGCCAUGCCGCGUGCAGGAAGACGGCUCUAUGAGUUGUAAACUGCUUUUGUACAAGGGUAAACCUGGAUACGUGUAUUCGGCUGAAAGUACUGUACGAAUAAGGAUCGGCUAACUCCGUGCCAGCAGCCGCGGUAAUACGGAGGAUCCAAGCGUUAUCCGGAUUUAUUGGGUUUAAAGGGUGCGUAGGCGGUUUGAUAAGUUAGAGGUGAAAUGUCGGGGCUUAACUCGGGAACUGCCUCUAAUACUGUUGAUCUAGAGAUUAGAUGCGGUAGGCGGAAUGUAUGGUGUAGCGGUGAAAUGCUUAGAGAUCAUACAGAACACCGAUUGCGAAGGCAGCUUACCAAUCUAUAUCUGACGUUGAGGCACGAAAGCGUGGGGAGCAAACAGGAUUAGAUACCCGUGUAGUC